rnacentral:rRNA from 1 species
UCCAGACUCCUACGGGAGGCAGCAGUGGGGAAUAUUGCACAAUGGGGGAAACCCUGAUGCAGCGACGCCGCGUGAGCGAUGAAGUAUUUCGGUAUGUAAAGCUCUAUCAGCAGGGAAGAAAAUGACGGUACCUGGCUAAGAAGCCCCGGCUAACUACGUGCCAGCAGCCGCGGUAAUACGUAGGGGGCAAGCGUUAUCCGGAUUUACUGGGUGUAAAGGGGGCGCAGACGGCAGCGCAAGCCAGGAGUGAAAGCCCGGGGCCCAACCCCGGGACUGCUCUUGGAACUGCGCGGCUGGAGUGCAGGAGGGGCAGGCGGAAUUCCUGGUGUAGCGGUGAAAUGCGUAGAUAUCAGGAGGAACACCGGUGGCGAAGGCGGCCUGCUGGACGGCGACUGACGUUGAGGCCCGAAAGCGUGGGGAGCAAACAGGAUUAGAUACCCCCGUAGAC